GCCGAGAUAUUACAAUAGUAGUAUGCCUCAUUUGGAAUGUGGCGAUCUGAGUUCGAUUCCCAGUCUUGGCC
rnacentral:tRNA from 1 species